GUCUAACACAACGCCGCGGGGAGGAAGCAGUAACGAAUCAUAAUUAAGAACACAUCAGGUUCAGAAGUGUGUUAAGAAAUUGACUGGAAGGUUAUAAAAGUCAUAUGGAAGUCAUAGCCCAGAAGAGGCACCACCACCUUGAAAAAGAACAAAUGUGGAAGAUGAUUAUUUCCCGGUUUCAAAACUUAUAGUAAUCUUCCUAUGGAGACCUGCAAAGAAUUGAUGAUAUAGGGUAAACUCACACAUUACGGUCAAUUUCAGACAAGGAGAGGAAUCCGUACAUUUGUUUGUUUGUUUGUUGUUUGUUUGUUUGGCUUUGGUGCUGGGGGUUGAACCUCGUAUGUGUUGAAUAAACCUUCUACCACUGAGCUACAUCCUUGUCCCUAAGUUUUCACAUUUUAUUUAGACAUGGGGCCUCACUAACUUAUCCGUGCUGACCUUGAACUCAUUCUGUAGCCUGGGCUGGCCUUGAACUUGUAGUUCUCCAGCCUCAGCCUCCCAAUUAGCUGGGAUUUCAGGACUUGUGACAUAUUCUAUUCAACAAAUGGUGCGGGGACGGCUAAAUGUCUAUGUGCAAAGGAGUAAAGUUGGACUCUCUUCAGCCCCAUACUCCUCCCUCAAAAUACUAUGUGUAGUGCAGUAUGCGUGUGUGGAGAUGCCACAUUGAAACUCAUUAUUUUGUACUCUAAUUAAAUAAAUUAUAAAACUGU
rnacentral:lncRNA from 1 species